rnacentral:lncRNA from 13 species
CAAUAAGUAAAAGAAGGUGAAGCCACUUAAAAAAGUGGAUGUUCCCUGCUAAGUGACAUGCUCCCCACACCAUCUGUGGACUCAGGUAAGGAUCAUGCAGCUCAGAGUCACCUCUUAUAAUUCCUUAAUGGUGGAGUCUGGAUGAUUGAGUCGUCUCUGCACACUUAGUUCAGUUCUUCUACUUUUCCAAAUGGAUGGACCACAGGGGACGGGGCAAUUGUGAUGGGAUAGCUGGCUGUAGUCUCGACUACUCAAGAUGCUGAGGCAGGAGAAUCGCUGGAGCCCCAGAGUACAAGGCUGCAGCGAGCCAUGUUCAUGACACUGCUCUCCAGCCUAGAUGACUGAGCAAGACUCUGUCUAGAAAAAAAAAUAAUAAUAAAGAUGAGACAUAUUUCUGCUGAG